GAACGCACAUUGCGCCCCCUGGCAUUCCGGGGGGCCUGCCUGUUCGAGCGUCAUUUCACCACUCAAGCCUCGCUUGGUAUUGGGCAAUGCGGUCCGCCGCGUGCCUCAAAUCGUCCGGCUGGGUCUUCUGUCCCCUAAGCGUUGUGGAAACUAUUCGCUAAAGGGUGUUCGGGAGGCUACGCCGUAAAACAACCCCAUUUCUAAGGUUGACCUCGGAUCAGGUAGGGAUACCCGCUGAACUUAAG
rnacentral:misc_RNA from 1 species